UGGACAAAUAAUCGUAGGAGUGAAGACGUUUCUCUGCUCGUCCAAGCCUCUUCUUCAGUUCUGGUCAGAUUCCUGCUGGACACACUGCCUUAUAUCUGUCUGAAGGAGGCGCUAUCGUCACUGAAACUGUGAACAUCUAUUGUCUCCAGUUCCUGCUGAAACCACCGUUGGUUAGUGUUUACUUAGGACCUGAGACACCACCUCACCCCCAUCUAUAACUCCAUCCUCAGACCCAGAACAGUGAGAACAGGAGCAGUGUCGUUAAGGACUGAAGAGGAUGGUUUCAACUGGAGACAUUAGGUGUUUACAGUUUUAGCGUCGUUAGCUCCUUUCUUCAGAGAGUGUCCAGCAGUAAUCUGACCAGAACUGAAGAAACGGCUUGGACGAGCAGCCAAACGUCUUCAGUCCCGCCACGAUUUGUCCAGUUGACACAUUUAAACUUGGUCUUUUGUUCUGAAUCAGAGCUGGAUGACUGAGUGAUUACACAGACAUUACACAAUAGUAGUACACUUAAGAAAAGACAUGAAUGAAACGGUUUUAGGAACAAAAGCAGCAGUAAAACAUCAAAGUUAAAGUAGUGACUGUGUUUUGUGUUUUUAACAGAGGCUCGACGGCUCUCUGCAGCUCCUCUGAUGAGUGAGAAGCCUGUUAUCAAUCCUGAUGAAGCUGAUCAAAUGGUUUAGACACGACCCUGGAAUGAGGCUUUACUGUAAUUUAGAAGAACAAAGACGAAUGUUUGUAAAGCAACACUCAGACCUUUCCCUUUUCUCCUCCUGGGAAACAGACUGUGCUCUGGAGCUACUCGCACAAAUAAACACUUCCUUAUUUGACUCUAUGUAUCAUACUCUCUGAAUGGGUCAAAGGUCACUGUCGCUAAAGGAAGCUCUUCAUCAUUGAUUUGAUAAAGUUAAUAUGUCGCGUUUGUCUGUGUUCGUGUAAAUAUGUACUUUUAAGAGCUUAAAAUAUGUCACUGGUGUUUCAUCCAUGAAUCUGCUGCACUAAAUGAAGCUUUUUAAAAAAAUAAUACCUACUGCUUUUGACUGAAAAUGUGACUUAUGAGAAUAUUUUGGAAGUAUCAGCUAUUUUCCAGUGUGCAGAUUUAUUCACAAACUGUACUUCAUACUGUUUAAAUGUUACUGUUCGACUGUGUACUUUGGAGCCAUGGCGUUUUGUGCAGUGACAGGAUUUCUGGUAUUUUAUAGGACACUGUAGGUCAGUUGUGACAUGAGUGAAUUCCAGUACUGUGCUAUAUUUUUAAUGUGCCUUUAUUUCAAGAUGAAUUUGUGUAGCCAAGAGUAAAUAUUAAGUCUGUUAGUCCAGAUUCAAUUCAGUCCAAGCCAAAUACAAUUCAAACUGAAAAGCUUUUAUAAUUACAUUUAAUUAGAGGCUGUGUCUCAUUGUGAAACUCCCCUCUCAGGUUUCUGUUCCUGGUUUAAUCUUUUUUUUUUUUAUCCUGUUUUUAUAAGUUUGGGUAACCACUGCUUGUAUCUGCCAAACCAAGGUCUAAUAUGGAAGGAACAUUGUCUGCAUUGUGUUUAAUUCACUUUUUUAUACAGGUUUUGUGUGCCAAUAAUUGUUGUAUAUGUUGCAUAGAGUUUAUUUUUAACUUUGCAUAUGGUUUGUGUAUUUGUGAUCCAUGGCCAUUAAAGGAUUUUUAAUAAAAC
ensembl:lncRNA